CAAAAACCAUAGCUUACUCUGUCUCUCUCUCACACACACAUUAUCCAUCACAUUCUUUUCUCCGUGCUUUCUCCCUUCGCACUCAUACAUACAUAGUUAAAGGCAAUGUCAGGUGUUCCUCUCUUCAAGCUGGCUCCUAAUCUCACAGUGUCGAGGCUCUGCUUAGGAAGCAUGAGUUUCGGGGAGCAGAACACGCUGGCGGAGUCGUUCCAGCUUAUGGACCAAGCCUUCCAUGCCGGCAUCAACUUCUUCGACUCCGCCGAAAUGUAUCCCGUGCCUCAGCGCGCUCACACGUGCGGCAGGAGCGAAGAGUGUCUCGGCCGUUGGAUUUCUCAACGAAAAAUCCCCAGGGAUAGCCUCGUAAUUGCCACUAAGGUUGCUGGACCUUCUGGGCAGAUGACUUGGAUUAGAGGGGGUCCUAAAUGUUUGGAUGCCGCUAAUAUUACUGAAGCCAUUGAUAAUAGUUUGUUGCGGAUGCAAAUGGAUUAUAUUGAUCUUUAUCAAAUUCAUUGGCCUGAUCGUUAUGUUCCAAUGUUUGGAGAAACUGAGUAUGACCCAGUCCAACAAUAUGCUUCAAUCAGUAUAGAUGAACAACUUGAAGCUCUCAGUGCAGCUGUGAAAGCUGGGAAGAUCAGAUAUGUUGGUCUUAGUAAUGAAACACCUUAUGGCUUGAUGAAGUUUAUUCAGGUUGCUGAAAAAUAUGCUUCACACCUGAAGAUAGUAUCUCUGCAGAAUUCAUAUAGCCUGCUAUGUAGAACUUUUGAUUCUGCAAUGGCCGAAUGCUGCCAUCAGGAGAGUAUUAGCUUGUUGGCCUACAGUCCCCUGGCAAUGGGUAUACUUUCAGGGAAAUAUUUUUCUCCAGGCGGUGGUCCAACAGAAGCUCGUUUAAAUCUGUUUAAAGGGAAGUAUUCAGAAGGAGAAUCUAGGUACAACUUGUCCAAGAAAAUUAUAAAGGCUGCUACCAUGGAAUACCUUGAUAUUGCAAAAACAUAUGGUCUUCAUCCUGUAUCUCUGGCUAUAGCUUUUGUUUUGCGACACCCCCUUGUCGCUAGUGCUGUUUUUGGGGCUACCAAAUCAUGGCAGCUUCAGGAGGUUCUAAAUGCAUGCAAGAUCGAGCUCGCAUCUGAAGUAAUUGAAGAUAUUAACAAGAUUCAUUUAAGGUUUCCAAAUCCAUGCCCCUGAUGAAUGCAAAUUAUUACUUAAUUAUAAUAAUUGUGAUGUGCCUGUCCCCAAUCCCCAUUUUUCAGGGAUUAAACCUUUUUGACAAGUAAUACUUAGUUUUGAUUUUACGGGUGAAUCAUCAUAUCGGUUUGGCCCUGAACUUACGUGCCUAUGACUUCGUUUCUCAAGAAAUCCGUGCAGCGCAAGAUCCUGAAUUGUAGACUUUCUACACCAAAAAUAUAAAGGUGAAAUCAUACACCGACAUGGCUACCUCAUUAUCAUAAAGAGGCAGAAGAUAGCAGCAGUCAUAACUCGUAAUACUACAAGACUCAAAAUUCGCGACCCGAAAUACAGAAGGCGAAAUAUAGAAAGAGAGCAUCGUUAAAUGAUAUGCUUUCGGCAAAUUGUUAAGUAUACGCAAUAAAUAUAAAUAUUAGUAGUGGUAGUAGUAUCAAUCAUUGUAUUCUUCGUGGAUCAAUACUCUUUGAGUCACACUUUUACUCCACGAUUAUUCAAUGAACAAAUAACCAGACCUAUCUUUAUUUUA